AUUCAUCCACUGAUUUUCCUUGAUUUGCUCUUUUAAUGAGAACAUGUAUUUUUGUUAUGUGAUAUAUAGUUCCUUGUAUUUUCUAAUGUAUGCUGAUUGUUAAUAUGAUUGUUUUUAUUUCUAAGAGGCAUUGUGACAAUAACAGUUCUAGCGCAACGUUCUGAAAGUGGAACAGUUUCCAUGGAAACAAUGGAAUGUUUGUCCUGACUGCUCCAACAGAAUUGCUGGUUAAGUAAGACUCUAUACUGAUUAAAUUCAGGCUAUAGUGACAAACUGUUUAUUAAAUACAUGUUAUCACUUUAAUGGAAACAGUGAGUCAAAAUUUAAUGUAUCAUUCAUGUUAAACUUGAUGGGAGUGGGAGUCAUAUGAAUGCGGAUGGUCAAGGUCAUUUAACCGUGAUGGCUAACAUCAUAUAAUUGCCCCACGAAGAGUGUCUCACAUAAAGGGAAAGCAACACUCUUCUACUUCCUCAGUGUAGGCUGCAAUCCCUUUCAUCUUCCGUUGAUACCCACCGGCUGAGCGUGAUGGGCCUUUCUGUCAUCAUACAAUCAUUGCGUCAAUUUGUCUGUGAAGAAGAGGGAACUUUGUGAAACGAUCCAUGACAGAAUCUCUGUGAUACAGUAUCAAUAUUAAUUGUACUAAUGUGUUAGCUUUGGAAAUGUCUUAGGAACAAAUACAAUGCUACAUGAUCUAUCUACCUCUGUCUGUCUGUCUGUCCGUCUAUACAGGAGUGAAGCAAAUUCCUUCUCGUGAUUUAGUAACUGUUUGUUUUAUUGGUUGCUUGUUCGCCAAAUAUACACCUACAUACAUACAUACACAAUAUGCUUCUUGUAUUUGGUUACAUCAUGUAUGCAUGACUGUGUGUAUUCACAUUUAGAUACAUCAAACAUUGCAUCAUGUAAUAAUGCUUUUUUGGCUGGCUAUUUUAAAGUGGGCUUUACCGUUCUUGAGGACCAAUGAUGAAUCAAAUCAAAAGCAAUAUUAAUUGUGUACAGUGCAAUUCCAUCUAUCGCCGUGUAACUGUAAGGUAUGACUUUACAUUACUGUAAAUAAAUUAAAUAGCACAUACUCCCAGGGGUAUAUGUGCUGGAUACUGCGUGAAUGGUCUGUUUUAAUGACCUUUAUGUAAUCUGAAUAUUCAUUCAAUAUUCAUUCUCUGGGUGUAAG